CAGAGUGCCCCUGGCUCUGCCAACCCCGUGAACUAUACUUUGUUGCCUCGGCGGUUUAGUGGGUUAAUCCCCCGCCGCCGCAGGCCCAUAAUACUCUGUUAGCAGCCGCCGUCAGUCUGACUUAAUUUUAUAAAUUAUAUAA
rnacentral:misc_RNA from 1 species